GCCCGGGUCUGGUGCUCGGAGCUGUGCGGUUGCUCCCGCCAUCCGCGCAGGCUGGACGGCACCGGCCGGGCCACGGUCUCGUCCUCGCCCGGGUAC
rnacentral:tRNA from 3 species